UCAACAGUAUAAAAUGUAGCUUCAACGUGCGGAAGAAAGACUUCCUUGUCGACAUAUGUACAGGUGUAACAAAGUCCCUUCCCCACCUACAAUUUUCGAUGACAUUAUAAGGAAAUAUGGCGCCGUGUCUGGCUGUCGUCGUAACGUUUCUUGUGACGUUUGUGUUCCUGUGCUCUGGUCAAUCCAUCUGCAAGCCGCCGACAGAGGAGAAAUGCACGUGUAACCAGGUAGUGAAUGUCGGUACGGACGAUGGGCUCAAGUCUGAAUUGGAUCGCCUGAAAAUCGUUGUGGAGCAACUUUCACAGAAGAUAGCAAAUUUUUCAGACGACCGAGUAUCGACCCUUGAGGAACAACUGGCUCAGGAGCGAAACAGGGUGAAUAGUAUCCAGGACGACCUCACGCAUGUGCAGAAUGCCACGACCCAGAAUGUCGAGUUAGCGGGAAAACAAAAACCGUAACACCGAAACUGGGACGAGUCUUUCAAGCACAGUCACCAGCUGGUAACUAUACGUAUGACAUGGAUGAAGCAAAGCACGCAUGCGCAGAACAGGGUGCUAGCCUCGCCUCCUGUUACCAGCUGGCCGAGGCCUUUCAUGGCGGACUGGAGCUCUGCGCAUGCGGGUGGCUGUCGGACGGGACCGCCAAGUAUCCGAUGCAAGAAGACAGAGGUCCUCACUGUGGCGGUGGGCGUGGUAUCUUCACCUGUUCACACUCGAGUACUUAUAACGCCUGGUGCGUCGGUCAGCUCAGCAUCUGUGACUGAACAGCACAACAGGAAGGCGAUAAAACAGCGCUUAUGGAUGGCACAUGUGGUCCUGCUUCAUCGAUCUAUACGAAACUGUAUACAUAGAUAGAAAUAUAUAGAUAUAUGAAUUUAGAUAUAUAGAUAUAUAUGUACUUCUGUCUGUUUGAACAACAAAAUUGUAUUUGAAAAUGAUUUUAAAGAAUAAAGACCAUUGUGCUUUCCCUUAGUAUUUUUUGUCUUGUUUUAAAAGUGUCAUUAUAUUUUCUAACACCCUGUUACCCUCCAAGCAGAGGUUUGGUGACUGUUUUUUUCGUGUUUUUAGAGCUGAUUAACGGGCUUUCUCUUUUGCACCGUUUUCUUUAUGUCUCGCGACCAACCCGUGUUUAGAAAUAGCCAACACCAGUAUUAGAGUAGAAUAUUGUAUAUUACUGUUCAUUGUUACUUGUAUAUCUCCUAGUCCUAUGUAUUUGCAAUCAGCCCUCGGGCAUGAUCACUUGCAAAUUAAUUUCUUUACAAUAAAGGUUUGGACUCCCCUGUCCCAAGAAUAACUGUGGCAAUAAAUAUCAACGACGGUUUUAUUGUUUAUAAGUUAAAUGAUUGUUGUUGUUGGUGUGUUUACUAUUCGUGUUCUAACUAUGAAGAUUGUUUUACGCGAUGAAUAUUUGUAGGCAUUGCUGUCAAAAAAUGGGCGAUCUCUUAUGAGUGACUAGUGACCUACUGUAGAUGUUUCUUAUUGAUUAUCAAAAUGAGAUCCUCAUUUGCAUAAAUUGUACCAGUUGAUUAUCUUCUCUAGCUAACAAUAUGAUCAAUGUAUGAAAGUUUCACUCUUAGCAAAGAAAGCUAGUGUAGCAUUGUAAAUUAUGGAAAUGUAGCAUUUUCUCAUAAACUGUGUAAAUGAGGCACUUAUGCGAUUGCCUGAUAAUGUUCAACUUAACAAAGCUGCCAAA